AGCUCCAAUAGCGUAUAUUAAAAUUGCUGCAGUUAAAAAGCUCGUAGUUGGAUGUCUGGUGUGGUGCUCCGGGCCCGCCGCCGUUAGGCGGUGAGUGCUUGUUGUGCGCCUACCAUCCUUCUGGAGAGUGCGUUCUACCCUUAACUGGGCUGGAGCGUGCGAUCUAGAUCGUUUACUUUGAAAAAAUUAGAGUGUUUAAAGCAGGCGUUUGUUAUGAAUACAUUAGCAUGGAAUAAUAAGAUAGGACUUUGGUUCUAUUUUGUUGGUUUCUAGGACUGAAGUAAUGAUUGAUAGGGACAGUUGGGGGUGCUAGUAUUUAACGGCCAGAGGUGAAAUUCUUGGAUUCGUUAAAGACUAACUUAUGCGAAAGCAUUCACCAAGGAUGUCUUCU
rnacentral:rRNA from 1 species